UUAAAAUAUCUUCUAAUGUUUGAAAAAUAAUUGCCUUUAGCUUUGCCUUAUGAGUGGAGAAAUCAUUCAAAUGUCGCCUCAAAUGAGUCUCAUCUUUGAAGCAAUGGACCUUUCCCAAGCCUCACCUGCCACUGUGAGUCGUUGUGGCAUGAUUUACUUGGAGCCCUCACAGUUAGGAUGGGAACCACUUGUGUCUUCAUGGUUGCAUUCACUGAAAGAACCUCUGUGUGAACCAGAACACCAAGCUCUUCUGAGAGGACUUUUUGAGUGGCUGAUAAUACCUUCUUUAAGGUUUCGCAAGAAAAACUGCAAGGAACUGUUUCCUACAAGUAAUAGCAAUGUGGUUGUGUCUCUCACUCGCCUCUUUGAAGUACUGCUCUGUAGUGUGGUAGAAAAUGAUCCUACUAGCAAGCACAUUCGUACUUGGAUUAUGGUUAGUUUUACAGUUAAUGAAGUUUAAAAUACAGAGUAAAAUAUAUUUCUGGAAAAUAAUGUUUAU
rnacentral:lncRNA from 1 species